CCUACGGGUGGCAGCAGUGAGGAAUAUUGGUCAAUGGGCGGAAGCCUGUACCAGCCAAGUAGCGUGCAGGAUGACGGCCCUAAGGGUUGUAAACUGCUUUUAUACGGGAAUAACGCGCCUUACGUGUAGGGCUUUGCAUGUACCGGAUGAAAAAGGAUCGGCUAAUUCCGUGCCAACAGCCGCGGUAAUACGGAAGGUGCGGGCGUUAGCCGGAUUUAUUGGGUGUCAAGGGAGCGUAGGCCGCAUGUCAAGCGUGCUGUGAAAUGUCCGGGCUCAACCCGGGCCUUGCAGCGCGAACUGGCGUGCUUGAGUCCGCGGAAAGCAGGCGGAAUUCGUCGUGUAGCGGUGAAAUGCUUAGAUAUGGCGAAGAACCCCGAUUGCGAAGGCAGCUUGCUGCAGCGGAACUGACGCUGAUGCUCGAAAGCGCGGGUAUCGAACAGGAUUAGAUACCCCAGUAGUC
rnacentral:rRNA from 1 species